GUUGUCGUGGCCGAGUGGUUAAGGCGAUAAACCGGACAUCUUUUGGGAUCUUCGCGCGCAGGUUCGAAUCCUGCCGACAUCG
rnacentral:tRNA from 1 species